GUGCUCACUUCAGCAUCACAUAUACUAAAAUUGGGACAAUACAGAGAAGAUUAGCAUGGCCCCUGGGCAAGGAUGACAUGCAAAUUCAUGAAACGUUCCAUUUAGUG
ensembl:snRNA U6 U6 spliceosomal RNA